rnacentral:rRNA from 1 species
UAGAAUUCCACGUGUAGCGGUGAAAUGCGUAGAGAUGUGGAGGAAUACCGGUGGCGAAGGCGGCCUUCUGGACAGAUACUGACGCUGAGAUGCGAAAGCGUGGGGAGCAAACAGGAUUAGAUACCCUGGUAGUCCACGCUGUAAACGAUGUCGAUUUGGAGUUUGUUGCCUAGAGUGAUGGGCUCCGAAGCUAACGCGAUAAAUCGACCGCCUGGGGAGUACGGCCGCAAGGUUAAAACUCAAAUGAAUUGACGGGGGCCCGCACAAGCGGUGGAGCAUGUGGUUUAAUUCGAUGCAACGCGAAGAACCUUACCUGGUCUCGACAUCCACAGAAUCUUGCAGAGAUGCGAGAGUGCCUUCGGGAACUGUGAGACAGGUGCUGCAUGGCUGUCGUCAGCUCGUGUUGUGAAAUGUUGGGUUAAGUCCCGCAACGAGCGCAACCCUUAUCCUUUGUUGCCAGCGAUUCGGUCGGGAACUCAAAGGAGACUGCCGUUGAUAAAGCGGAGGAAGGUGGGGACGACGUCAAGUCAUCAUGGCCCUUACGACCAGGGCUACACACGUGCUACAAUGGCGUAUACAAAGGGAGGCGACCUCGCGAGAGCAAGCGGACCUCAUAAAGUACGUCUAAGUCCGGAUUGGAGUCUGCAACUCGACUCCAUGAAGUCGGAAUCGCUAGUAAUCGUGAAUCAGAAUGU